rnacentral:rRNA from 2 species
CAACAGGGAUUGCCUUAGUAACUGCGAGUGAAGCGGCAAAAGCUCAAAUUUGAAAUCUGGCGUCUUUGGCGUCCGAAUUGUAAUUUGGAGAGGCAACUUCGGAGAUGGUGCUGUCCUAAGUCCCUUGGAACAGGAUGACAUAGAGGGUGAGAUCCCCGUGCCUGGAUGGCUGUCCAUCUUCAUGUGAAUUGCCUUCGAAGAGUCGAGUUGUUUGGGAAUGCAGCUCAAAAUGGGUGGUAAAUUUCAUCUAAAGCUAAAUAUUGGCGAGAGACCGAUAGCGCACAAGUAGAGUGAUCGAAAGAUGAAAAGCACUUUGAAAAGAGAGUUAAAAAGUACGUGAAAUUGUUGAAAGGGAAGCGCUUGAGACCAGACUCGAUUCGUGGUGAUCAGCUGUGCUUCUGCACGGUGCACUCGCCAUGGAUUGGGCCAGCAUCGGUUCUGACGGUGGGAUAAAAGGUUGAGGAAUGUGUCUUCCUUCGGGGAGUGUUAUAGCCUCAGUCACAAUGCCACCAGCUGGGACCGAGGACCGCGCUUCGGCUAGGAUGCUGGCGUAAUGGUCUUAAGCGACCCGUCUUGAAACACGGACCAAGGAGUCUAACAUCUAUGCGAGUGUUCGGGUGGAAAACCCUUGCGCGUAAUGAAAGUGAACGGAGGUGGGAACCCGCAAGGGUGCACCAUCGACCGAUCCCGAUGUCUUCGGAAGGAUUUGAGUAAGAGCAUAGCUGUUGGGACCCGAAAGAUGGUGAACUAUGCCUGAAUAGGGUGAAGCCAGAGGAAACUCUGGUGGAGGCUCGCAGCGGUUCUGACGUGCAAAUCGAUCGUCAAAUUUGGGUAUAGGGGCGAAAGACUAAUCGAACCAUCUAGUAGCUGGUUCCUGCCGAAGUUUCCCUCAGGAA